CCAGACUCCUACGGGAGGCAGCAGUGGGGAAUAUUGCACAAUGGGGGAAACCCUGAUGCAGCGACGCCGCGUGAGUGAAGAAGUAUUUCGGUAUGUAAAGCUCUAUCAGCAGGGAAGAAAAUGACGGUACCUGAUUAAGAAGCCCCGGCUAACUACGUGCCAGCAGCCGCGGUAAUACGUAGGGGGCAAGCGUUAUCCGGAUUUAUUGGGUUUAAAGGGUGCGUAGGCGGAAGGUUAAGUCAGCGGUCAAAUGUCGGUGCUCAACACCGGCCUGCCGUUGAAACUGGUCUUCUUGAGUGAGCGAGAAGUAUGCGGAAUGCGUGGUGUAGCGGUGAAAUGCAUAGAUAUCACGCAGAACCCCGAUUGCGAAGGCAGCCUUCCGGCGCCCUACUGACGCUGAGGCACGAAAGUGCGGGGAUCGAACAGGAUUAGAUACCCCUGUAA
rnacentral:rRNA from 1 species